AGUCGUAUGGUCUAAUGGUUAUGAUUUCUCGUUCACAUCAUGUGUUCUUGUCCCGAGAAGGUUCCGUGUUCGAUCCACGGUACGACUA
rnacentral:tRNA from 1 species